AUCUCUUUCUGGAGCUUUUUCCUUUGUGGAGCUUUUCAUCAUGAGCCAAGAUCUUUGGAUACAGGUAGAACUCUGAAAGUGUGCCCUUGAUUUGCCAAGUUGCCCGGCUGGCAUUAAUCCAGUUGCAUCCAAAAUCCUUGAAAUGAGCCCCAAGGCCUGAUUAAUCCACUGUAAUCAAUGGAGCCCAAGCCUUAAUGAACCAAAGGAGAACAAUGUUUUUUUUUUUGUUGAGUACCGAAAGAACCACGGUCAUUGCCAUGAUAUUCACCUCAGUUAUGAAGGGUUCCUGCGAACUCCAGUGAGAAGAAAUAUCUAAUGAUUUGUCUCUGUAGAUACCAUUAAACAACUUGAUAGAAACUUUCUUCUAGAAAAGGCUAGCUGUCAGAAUACAAGGUUUUCUGAGGAGGUGCUUAUAAUGUCAUAAAAUCCAGUCAUGCUCCAUGGCAGAACUCAACUGUCUUGUAAAUUACAGGUUAUAAAACACACUUUCACAGUACUAGAUUAUUUGCAAGUUGAUGGAAAUGCAGGGAAACCAAUUCGAGCCUUUUACAGCAACCCUAAAGAGAAACUGUAACUGCAACACUUAAAUUUCACACAUCUCAAAGGCCGAGCCUUCACAAAUGGUGCAGCCAAACUAUGCCAUUCAAAUCAGCGACCAGGUGGCAAAGGCUCUCUUCAGAGCUGGGGUACCCAGAAGGUGUAGGACUUCUCUUCCAGCAGAUCAGCUAGCAGAUGAAGUAUGCUGCAAUUGGGUAGAUACAAGACAGCAUGCUGUUUGGCAUUUAGGUAAAAAUCGAAUAUGUUAAAGAUGGUUUCUACACAACAAAGAGGCAGAUCUAUAAGUCACUGCUUAAUUUAGCCCUGUGUAGGCAAGAUGUUAUCACUGCAGAUUUGGGAUGAUGUAUUUACAUCUGAGCAUAUUGUGUCUGGGGCUUCUCUAUGUGGAAAAAUAUGGAAAAUCAAAAGAGGUGCAAAAUAAAUGGUGACUGGGAAUGCUGUGAUUGACAGUCACUGGCUUCCUUUUGUUUGUAUUCUGUCAUAAAAUGUUCUGUAAGCUU
ensembl:lncRNA